rnacentral:rRNA from 1 species
AUUGAACGCUGGCGGCAGGCCUAACACAUGCAAGUCGAACGAGUGGCGGACGGGUGAGUAAUGUCUGGGAACAUGCCUGAUGGAGGGGGAUAACUACUGGAAACGGUAGCUAAUACCGCAUACCAUCAGAUGUGCCACGAUGGGAUUAGCUAGUUGGUGGGGUAACGGCUCACCAAGGCGACGGGCCCUAGCGGGUCUGAGAGGCUGACCAGCCAAACUGGAACUGUGACACGGUCCAGACUCCUCCGGGAGGCAGCAGUGGGGAAUAUUGCACAAGGUGCGCAAGCCUAAUGCAGCCAUGCCGCGUGUAUGAAGAAGGCCUUCGGGUUGUAAAGUACUUGCAGCGGGGAGGCGUUACCCACAGAAGAAGCACCGGCUAACUCCGUGCCAGCAGCCGCGGUAAUAC